rnacentral:lncRNA from 1 species
GCAAACAGAGGCCAAAUCAAGAGAAUAGCAUUUGAAACCAAUGUGUCUUCAAUAUCAAAAGGUCCCAGACACACACAAGAACAUGUGCUCCCACCCCUUCCUGCCCCUGUCGCAGAAGACUGGCUUGGGGGAUUCCGAUCUCCAGGAGUGUCUCAGCUCCACCUCUGCUCUCCAGAAGGCCCCUCCCUCUGCCAGCACCGAAAACAGGAGAGGGUAUCCAUUGAGACCUGAGAGCAACUGCUUGUGGUACAGUUGAGUCAGAGGACACGCUUCCUUUAAAGAUGGCGGAGAACUUUCACCGUGAGAACACUGGCAGCCUUCACGUCAGUUCCUCGGAGCCAACAGCAGGAGCCCUCAGAGCUUUGCCAGCCCGAGAAUGAACCAGGAGCUCCACCUGACAGGUGGUUAAACAGACAAACUGUGCAACAUAACUGGACCCGCUGGGCCACACCCACUCGGCCGUUCAGCCUGGGAUAUGAUUCUCAGAAAACAGUGAUGCUAAAUAGGAUACAAAAGUCACAGUUCCCAGAGGGACCUCUGGUGGAUGGAUGAUAAGGUCAGCUGAGUCACAGGCUGUUUGUCAAGGCUGUCGUAAAAAGGAGCUAUAUAAAGGGAAAGCAUGCUUACUUUAAUUUUCUCAAGAAAACACUGUUAUCUGGUUUUUCAAAAAAAAAAAAGAGGGAAAAAAAGGCUUUCUGAUUGUAGUUGUGGGGACAGGGUUUUGGGAAGGGUACCCCAAAACCCACUAUGUAGCUCAAGCUGACCUCAAACCUCUUGCCACCUUCUACCUCAUCUCACCACACCCCAGCACCCACCACCUCGUGCUGGGAUUACAGGUGUGCACCACCACAUCCAGAUUCAAGUUUGUUUUGCCAGGAGCUGCCCAGGAGUUUUCACUGUGCCAUGGAGACUAUCUGAACACUUCAGAACUCUGUUCUAUUGCCAUGCAAGGGAAAUAAAUGAACAGUAAGGCCAGAGAGCUGAGCUCUGCUGACAUGCGCUCAGGGGCCCAAGGGUGGCCAGUGUGCCACCCCGGAUGUAGCUUCUACCAUCCUUUGGGAGCAGGCAAUCUCUCUCAUCCUUAGAUACGUUCUGCACAGGUUUGAAUUCUAUGAAAAGCAGUCAGCAUAGAUACGAAAAGCUGAAGUUUGAUUUGUCACCACGGUGACACUUCCUAUUUGAAUCAAUCAUGUUCAUGGGAUGAGAACCAAGGCAGGCAAUUUCUAUACACAAAAAAACCCAAAGCAUCCGAAAGGUAUUUUUUGUAAAUGUCCUGUCAAGAAAGAAAACGUUCAGACACAGAGAAACAUAAGUGUACAUAUUACCAGGAUUAAGACAUCAAAAUUCAAACCUCAAUCUACUCAUCCACUUAUUUUAAUAUAGGUUUGUUUAUAAAUAAAUACGUAUAUCAGAAAGG